UUUGCAGAAUCGCACAGAAGAACAAGACGUUCUGAUUGAGAAGGCUAAACCCACAAACAGCGUCUAUCAGGAAUUUUCUGAUGAAAGGUUUAUUGCUAGAAAAUGCCAGUUGGCCAUAAAAAUCUAUUUUUCUAGAUACAUAUUGGUAAUGAGCCACUUUUAUGAGAAAAGUCAGCCCGUGUAACCAUCCUAACCGCUGCUCGAAGGGUUUCAGGACUGACGUCUGCACCCUGUGGUACCACCGCAGCGCCACCCAGUCACAAGAUCAGAUGAAGACGGAUGUCCCCAUUUAGUUCUUGCCCUAUAACAUUCCCGGUUAGAUCCCAUCAAACCCCAACACACCCUCACUGAAACCACAACCCCCAGAGCCACCUGGUUCCUUCUGGGAGCCCGUGAAGACAGGACUCAGCUAUUGGGUUUUGCAAAAGGGAAACGUCAAUGGUGUGCAUCCUAAGGGGAGUGUUCCAGCGAUUACGGGCAGAAAAAAGCAAAGAGAGCUGCAGUUGUGCAGCAGCUCCAGCAGCUGAAGUUCCUGCUCCCCAAGAGCCGGCUCUGCAGCAGCCGCCCAAGACCAAAGGGCAGACGUAUGGAAAAUUGCAAUGGCUACAAGCUACUCCACAAAGACAUCAAUGAGUCUAUGGAACUUACUGCCACGAGAGCUCGUCAGACAGAUGAGCUCAGCAAUGUUCAAACAGUGCACAGAGAGAGCAGAACAGCUGGUUCACAACUAACGGGAAGGCAGCGGAGAUGCAGUCCAGAUUCCAGAAUAAGCAUUGCAGGGACCAACUGAAGGCUGGAAAUGAGACAAAGCAGUUUAAAGCGGAAUGGACAGGCUGUAAGAGGCAAUGCCGGCUGGCCAGGUCUGCGGGCGAGCGAGCGCGAGGUGCCAAUCACCACUUGCUGAUAACGAGCGGCGGGGGAGCAGCGCGCUGUCAUAACCUGAAGUUUGGAUUUCUACCAUUAUAAUGAUCCUGUGACAACUGCAAAAACUCCCAGGUGGCCAGAAGCUUAUAACAACACACGAGUGUUCAUAAAUAAAUGAGAGCUUGUGCCUUGUUUGCUGAAUUCAUCGUCCCUGGCAUUUCCACAGGACGGGGACGUAUACACUGAGUUAGUACUCAGCGGAGCGGGGCAAAGGGCUCCCAGUGCUCACCCUAAAAAGAUCUGGCAUUAAACAGGCCAAAUGAGGCUUCUCAGCAAGGAAUGAACACUGAGUGUCUAUCAAUCUGUCAUGGCAAAACCAGGCAGAGGCAUUAUUGCUCCUAUGGACAGGGAUGCACUGAGCUGCAUGGGAAGCGGGCUGUAAGAAUGUGUUAAAUAAAGUGACAUGGGAGCAGCAGAAGAGGAGAGCGGUGGAAAUGAGAGCGGAGACGUUAUUAAGGCAGACAAGCGAGAUCGCCUCGGAGCUACCGGCAUAUGUGUCAGAUAGGUGGUUGGUCAGAGAGUUUCAGUCACUGCUCUUGCAGUUGCUCAUCAGCAGACCCCGACUUAAGUCACCGCAUUAAUUGCUUUCAACAUCUCCAUUAAUUAUUUUGAAAUGCAACUUCAGUGCCUUUUCUUGUAUUAUAUCUACUUUAACAGCAAAGUUUAAAACACUCGAUGGAAGUUUCCAAAGGGUUAAAAUAUAUGGCCUCUGGAUUGUGUUUAUAAUCGUGUGGGAUAAAGUUUCACAAUCCUGAGAUAUUAAGUGAAAAUAAUUCUUUUGUAUUUUAAGCUACUUCCAAUGCCAUCUGGAGCAUUUUAACAGAAGAUGACUUGCUAGCAACCAGUAUAGAAACCAAAGUGCUUAUAAGAAAGAUACAUGGCUACAAGAUGGCCUAUUAGUAUUCAAUGGUUUAUUUUAUAACUUUCGAAGAUACCAGGCUCUGAUCUGCAUACAACUCCAAUUAACGUUAAUGGAAAUUAUGUGAACAUCCGGAGUGGUUAUAUGGCCCUUAAACUCUUGGUACAACAAUUCUCAUUGUCUACUGCUCUACAUUUGCAUAAGCAAUUAAUGUCUCAUUAAUGUCUCAUUAGGAACUCAUAUGGUGUGAGGGAAGAAAGGGCAUUAGUGGCUCUAUGGAAACUGCAUUAGGUCACACGCAAAAACCGACUUUACUGUUUUCAUCUUGUUUUGUACUUGUACAUGCAGAGAAAGACAACGUUGCAGAGACGCACCGUUUGGCGGAGACGAGCGCGACUGCUGUCAAGUGCGGCAGCUCUGCGGCUGCAGAUGAUGUCUCCAGUUAGACACGAGACAUUGAGGCAGGGACCACGAAAGCCCCGUGAGAUGCCCUCACAGCAGAGCGAGCGCAAACCAUGUGCUUUCAUGUCUGCCGCUGCUAAAUCCCACGUUUAACUUCAAAACAUUGCGCAGUCCCAUUGAAGUCAAUUAAAGACCUAUACUUUGCUGGCAUGUAGCCAUCAUCCAUUCACACUGACAGAAACUAAACCCACUUAGGUUUGAGGUUGUUCUGUUAAACGAACCGCCAGGUUAAACCCAUAAGGAACUUCCAUCCCGCAGCCUGAAAGUUUCUCUUGGUUACUCUGCAAGGCUGGAAGCUCCCUCAACAUCUGUAACUCCUGGUUCUCUGCUGAGUGUUCCUCCUCUGAACACCUCACCGAAAAAGAAGUGGUGGCAUGGGGGACAGUAUUUUGAUCAUUUAUAUUUCUAAAAGUAUGCACUGGAUUUACAAGAAAUUAUUAACAAAUAAUUAAAAAAUUAACAAAUGACACCAAAGUAGUAACCCUUGCAGGGACAGCAGAGCACCAAAGUUGACAUCAUACCCUGUCUCAAGCUUCAGAUUUAAAAAACCACUGUAUCAUCAAAUUAGACCUUCCCAGUAGGAAGUCUGGUCCUUGCGGAGGAGCUGGGCUGUGCAACCGAGUGCUCUAUUUACAGGAAAUCCAGAAAUUUUGUUCGGAACAAUCAGAAUCUGAACCAGAGCACCGGCACCUGAACAUCAAAAUCUCCAAUCUGUCCUACCGCAGAUUUCUAUGAAAAGCCCAAAUCCUCUGCAAUACUGCGUGAUGCUGAGAAGCCCUGGUGCAGUUGCUACAUACAGCGUUUCAAGGACCAGCAGCUGAAGGAGCCUGGGAAUGGCUGAUAUAUUCAAAAGGGUUCACUUAAGCAGCAGCCAGGAGCUGGUUGGAGCCUCCUUACUAAAUACAUGCUGAAAGUGCUUUAUAUUGCCUAAGAGAACCAAUUUCUUUCCCAAGAAACUCUAAUGGGAUUCAUAAUCUAAAGCCAAAGAACAUCCUAGCUGUUAACUGAAAAUACAACUAAACGUUCUCAGUUUGUUCAUAAACCUGAAGAGAGCACAUCCAGCGCUCACAGCUCCUGUUAGCUGUUACUUGGACCUUCAGCAUCCUUUUGGGCUGCUUCAGCAAGCACAGACAUAAAGAGCAGCAUGUUAUUGUGAAGAGUCCCACAGGGAAUCCUCAGCUCUAAGCAGGCUGUGCUUCACACGUGCAGUGCUGUUUCUCACAUACUGAAAUUCCUCUUGCUUCAGCUGGAAUAUUACAGCAUCUUCAGUUCAGCGGGGCUGGAGAGCCCAUCUGAGCGCCACGGAGCCCUGGGCCACGGCUUACAGCUGGCAUACAAAAGAAAACGGCACAAACUGCUCUAAUUUUAAGUAGAAAAGGAGAUGAAAGAAUUCAAACGAGCACAGUGCAGUCCAAAAUGCAGACACACGAGCAGUUAAUCAGAAGAGCAGGCACAAUGCUCACAUGUACCUGCGGUAAUUUAGGGAGAGAGUAUUUUUUCUAGAUAAGCUGUUUGCUAUGCAAGUACAUGGAGCUAAUCCAAUGCUGAUUUGUCAGGUUAUGGACCAUAGCAUCUGAAGAAUACUCCUGGCAAAUAUUUCAGAUCCAGCUAGUCUGAACUGCACCGCAGAUACCUCCCAAAGCUGCCAGAACUGGUGUGAGCUGCACUGAAGGAACUCGUGAAAGGAAAAAGACCUUUGCUUGGGAAAUGGUGAAGAUCUGGAAAAAAUGACUGCUCCUGAGCAACAACGGGGAACGCUGGAGGAUGGUGGGGACGAGGCAGAUCCGGGCAGAAAAGGUACAGCACAAUACUGCUGACAAUUCUCCUUUCAAGCUUUCAUUGCUUUGAAAUCCCCUUUAGGUCUGCUGCUUAGAUUAAACAACAUAGCAAUUCACUGGAAAAAAGUUUGGGGUCCCUGUAUUCCCAUUCUGAAGCUCAUAAGACACUGUGAAGGUUGGCAGAAGCUAAUGACACGAAUACAAGCAUCCUCACCUCUGCACAGAUAGAAAUCCACGAGUUUCUGCAUUCAUCAAACCAGUAAUUUCUACAUUUCUGUGCAACUAGGAAAUAUUUAAAGGGAUCAAGGUUUCUAUGGGAAAUCAAAUUCAUGCACCCAGUCCCAGAGCUGGACACAGUAAUGUUGCCCACAAACCCAAUGAGAGUCCAAAGGAAGGAAAACACCCCUCAUUCUUUUAUCACCCGGUCCUUGGAAGUCAGCUGUAGAACUAGCAUUUCAAGACUUGGAUCUAGAUACAAUUGAAAGACGACGCAAGCCGGGCAACCACUGAAAUUCAUGCAAUUAUCCUGGCACGAAGGGACCAGCCUCACCGCGGAUCAUCGUGCAGGUUCGUCCCAGAGCCACUUCUGCCUUUUGAAGGCAGAAUGUGCCGUGCUCAGCCUUGUUGGGAGCCACCAGCACACAGGGCUUGUAAGAGUUUGGCACAUGUAGGCUGAGGUGCUGAAUUUAAGGACCCGAUCUCACAAUAGGUGGAGUCAAGCAAGACAAGGAAGAUAGCUUUUGUUAUUUAAUAUUAAAGGCAGUAUGUAAUUAGUUGGGAACUGUGGUUAUUUGCAAGUCUGUCUCUACUUCUUGAUGCCACAGAUGUUUUACUGCUUCACUGAGUGCAUCUGUAUUUCUCAUUGAAUCUCAACAAACCCUAUACUUACCCAACUGUUCUGAUUAAAAUGGAGUUUAAUUUACAUAUUUUGGGGCUAGCUCUCCCAAGCAGAGUCCUCCUUCAUCUUUCCACAUGACAGUAAAGUAACCAACGUUUUCCAGACAGAAAUACUGUGCAGUGUCAUGAGCCUUCUGGUACGUGUGCGAAGGACAGCUUUUCCAGUAAAUCAGGGCAAAUCCGAUAAAUUGUCCCUCUGUAUUCAGGAUCAGAGUAACAGCACACAGCCUUAAUGAUCUUUGAGCACACUACCAGACAAAGGAAAAGAGCACCACCACGGAAAUUACUGAAACAAAGUCACCUCCUCUAAUUAAAUGCAUCAGCUUCACAGGGCUAAGCUGCCCCGGCUGUGAGCAACGUCCACAUUCACACCCCACUCUGCUAACUACCAAGCUCACGUUUUGCACACUUCUGUGAAAAGAAAAUAGAUGAAGUAUUAACAGUGCUUAUCUCCACAUUCCUGUUCUGCCUUUUUGUAAGAAUUAAUGUUGCUGAUCAAUAUUUUCACAAAUGAACAUGGUGUUAAAAAUACUUUUGAUUGAACAGUUGUACUGCUGGUGGGUUUUUUUUUAAACACAGACUUAAAUGUUACAGGCAAUCUGUUAAAUUUUAGGAGUGCGCUUUACUAUACUAUAGGACUCAUUUUGGUCUUUGCAAGUAAAAUUUUCCAUCAACUUUUAAUUAAGAGUCUUUCUGUAAGAGUAUGAUUGAUCUGCUGUUGAGGCAGCCGCCUGUGCGCACAGAGCCUGCCCCAUCCCCAUGGAUCACCCGCAGCGCCAGAUGUUUUCUGUGAAAGAUAAAAGCCUUUUGGUUGGGUUUUGUUUCAGUUCUUAGUCGCAGUCCCAAGGCAAACGUACACCACCAUGGUGGCGGCCAACGGAACAAUCAAAGGGAUGGUUAAUAAUGAUUAUUUCUUUGGGCUUUGAUUUACUCAAGUGAAUGAUCAGGAAAACAUUUGCAAAAUAGGGUCUAACAAUUAUAUUCUCCAGCGUGGCUUUAAAAAGGAAAUUAGAGGAAGAGAAAUAGGCACAAUAUGGAGACACUGAUGAACAGGACCACAUACAGCCCCUAAUCAUGAGAAAAAUUGGACUGUGGGAGCUGCAUCUCUUUAGCUUGGAGAAGAGGAGACUGAAGGGUGACCUCAUUAAAUGUUUACAGAUAUCUAAAGGGUGAGUGUCAGGAGGAUGGAGCCAGGCUCUUCUCAGUGACAACCAAUGAUAGGACAAGGGGUAAUGGAUACAAACUGGGUCACAAGAGGUUCCACUUAAAGAUGAGAAGAAACUUCUUCCUGCUGAGGGUGGCAGAGCCUGGCCCAGGCUGCCCAGGGGGGUUGUGGAGUCUCCUUCUCUGCAGACAUUCCAACCCGCCUGGACACCUUCCUGUGUAACCUCAUCUGGGUGUUCCUGCUCCAUGGGGGGAUUGCACUGGGUGAGCUUUACAGGUCCCUCCAACCCCUGACACUCUGGGAUUCUCUGCAGACAGAGCAGCACCCAGCUCCAAACCAGGGCCCACGUGAGCCCCUUGGCACUGAGCUCGGGCUGCCAGCGCCAGGCUCCCAGCAGGGCUCAGGCACUCCAGCUGCACCAAGACAACACAAUUAAGCGGCUCCUGGGUCAGAUCUGCUUUGCAUCAGUCGAACCCUGGCAACCCCAGGUCCAAGUGUCUUUGGCACAGUCUUCACCUGCCCUUCUGUGACAGCUGUGCUGUGACACCAUCGCUGGUGCUUGUGUCUGAAGAGCUGGCUCCCAGCCCUGCUGGAGGCAGCCGUGGGGCUGGAUGGGGCAUCGGCUCUGCAGACAACUGCUUUCUUCACAGAAUCAGGAAAACUGGCACCAAUCUGCCCUUCAGGCUCAGUACUGCCGUUGCCAGCAAGAGCCGAAAGCAGCAACGUUUUAAUUCAACAGAAGGGACUGGACAACAGUACCUGGCAGGGGACACAUGGUCCCCUGUGCCACCUCUGCGGCCAGAGCUGUGACAUCCAUCAUGAAGGCACCAAAGGGAAGAGGAAGCGCAACUUGGAGCCCUCGGUGUUCUCCUUGUAUUCAUAUUUGUUUUCAGACUGAAAUCUCAGCCACAUAACUGUCUCGCUCUCUGCAUUUCCUAUCUUGGGACACUUGGGUGCAACCAUAAACCAGACACACACGCUGCUCCUGCUGCCAGACUGGGCUCCGGUGGGUCAACAGUUCACCUUAAAAUAUGACAACUUACUUUGCCAGAAUCCGACUGUCUGCACAAGCAAGCCUACUGGCAACAGUUUUCUCCCACAGUUUUUCUCUCCCUUCUGUUUAAAAAAUUAUCUUAUUAUCAGUAGCCCCUGUAAAACAGCUUCAGCAUUCAGAUCCCUGAGUGUCAAAUGGCAUAAGUAAGCGACAAAAGCAAGCAUACUGCUACGUCCUCAGAUAUGCUGAGCUUCAUAGAAACGGUACAGAUUUCUGACAUCCUGUUUGUUUUCCUGCUGUUAUGGAAAGUGCGUACAACCUAAUUUUCAGUAUUUCUCUCCUUGAUGCCUCGUUAACAACAAUUACAGCUCCUGGGAGGACCUAACAGUGUAGAGUCUUGUACUAACUCUGUACAGAGCGAUUCUUUGGGGAAUUUCAUCCUCGCAGUACAAGCUAUCAAUACAAAAAUCAUAACUGCCUCUGGUUGCACAAGUCUUAAUGCAGUUACUGCACAGGCAGGAACGUUAACUCUUUAGAGCUGCUUUAUCUGAUGUGCUCAUUUCAAACCACAUUUGUCUUCCAGUACCUCUGAGGUUUAGCAAGUCUUGUCUGAAAUGGUAUAUUGUAAUUACUUUCCUUCCGCCCCUCUCCCCAGUACAUAUAAAUAAAGGCUUUUACAUCUUA